rnacentral:rRNA from 1 species
UACGUAGGUGGCAAGCGUUGUCCGGAAUUAUUGGGCGUAAAGCGCGCGCAGGUGGUUUCUUAAGUCUGAUGUGAAAGCCCACGGCUCAACCGUGGAGGGUCAUUGGAAACUGGGAGACUUGAGUGCAGAAGAGGAUAGUGGAAUUCCAAGUGUAGCGGUGAAAUGCGUAGAGAUUUGGAGGAACACCGGUGGCGAAAGCGGCUCUCUGGACUGUCACUGACACUGAGGCUCGAAAGCGUGGGUAGCAAACAGG